CUCCUCAGCUCCUCUUAAAAACGUUAUGCUACAAAACUCUAUUUAAAACCGGUCGCCUCCCACAAAGCCACGAUCUCAUAUUCAUCUCUUGUGGUUGUUUUGCUCAUUGUACCAGCAUCACUCUAAUUUAUUGGUUUGUGUUGAUAUGCAAAAGCAUCGAGUCUCAUGGGAAUGAUAAACGUAAAAAAAGUUGGUCGGAUGGGCCACUGCGUAUCUUAUUCUCGAUUUUGUGCACCACACCCUGAAAAGGAACCAACGACGGUAUGAAGAAAAGCAGCAACAGUUCGAACUGGGAAUAAAAAGAUACCGAUAUCAAAAGAUGAAAGCAGGAGAAUAACGUGGCAGAGACCAAAAAAUCAAGCAGAAGCGGUGGUCAUAGAAGUUUCUGAUUUUCAUGCACCAUAGCAUUAGUGUGGCAAAGAGAUGAGUUAUUCCAAUAUUUUCCCGAGUAAUCCAAAAUGUAAGCACUUGGUGCCAAUUGAAUAUUCAAAAGGCUAUAUAUUCUUUGAAUUAGUGUAAAUGUGUGAAUACACAAAUAGAGCCAAUUCAAUA